rnacentral:rRNA from 1 species
AACGAACGCUGGCGGUAUGCUUUACACAUGCAAGUCGAACGCCCCGCAAGGGGAGUGGCAGACGGGUGAGUAACGCGUGGGAACGUGCCCUUCGCUUUGGAAUAGCCCCGGGAAACUGGGAGUAAUACCGAAUACGCCGUAUUGGGAAAGAUUUAUCGGCGAAGGAUCGGCCCGCGUUAGAUUAGCUAGUUGGCGGUGUAAUGGACCACCAAGGCUACGAUCUAUAGCUGGUCUGAGAGGAUGAUCAGCCACACUGGGACUGAGACACGGCCCAGACUCCUACGGGAGGCAGCAGUGGGGAAUCUUGGACAAUGGGCGCAAGCCUGAUCCAGCCAUGCCGCGUGAGUGAAGAAGGCCUUAGGGUUGUAAAACUCUUUCGCCGGAGAAGAUAAUGACGGUAUCCGGAGAAGAAGCCCCGGCUAACUUCGUGCCAGCCGCCGCGGUAA